GGGCCGGGCCCAGAGCUGAGAAGAGGGCCUCCUGGUGAAGAUAGACAGCCCGGAACGACUAACCCUCCCCACCGGACAGUCCCUGCAGCAUAGAUGGCCCAGAACAGCUCACCCUUCCUUCCCACCGAGGGGAGAUGAUGCGUGCGUCCUCAGUGCAGCCUCAGGGAGCGUCAGUCAGCAGAGACAGGUCAGGCUGGUGGUCCAGCAGUAUCAGGAAGCCAGUGGCAGCCAGAGUCAGUUCACGGACAUUACAAGUUCGGAUUUUUUGCAGAGCUUGAUUAAUUAACAAUCAAUCACACACUUGCAGACCAUAUAAGAAGACUGAGAAUGGGCUUUCAAACAACAUCAGCAGCUAUUGAAAAAAAGACUAAGGAAGUCUCGAAAUGUGUCUAGCCAGGUUACGGCAGGCCUAGGAGGAAUACAGUACACCACCAUAUCAGGAGCACAUAGCCACUUAUAUCUAUCAAGAAGCACAAUUGAAUUUCCAUAAAAGUCGGAGAGCGAUCAUCAUCUGUAAACGUCAGCAUCUACUUCCAGCGACAGACCUCCGCCACCUGACCUCUCCCUACCGAGGCCUGCCGUGAUCUUACCCCAGCCAGCCGGACAGUGAGGAGGAGACCGGCUUGAGCUUACUAUGGGUAAGUGUGAGAGCUGCGUGGGAUCUCCAUCAGAUACAUUUUAGCUGCGGAAUACUCCACCUCUGAACCUCCAUCAUGUGCACUGUUCUUUGGAAUCUGAUUGACAACAAAAUGACUCUGCUGCUCAAAAUUGGAGGACAAAGCUUUACAUUCCUUUCUAAAAAUAUAUUGGAUGGCAUUCUGAAGACAAAGAAGAAUUCUUCCUCCCCCUUCCUGCUGCUCAAAUCUUAUCUGAAAAUCAGCUUAGCUUUGUUCUGUGUCAAGCAAUAAAAGUCUAUGCAGGGGGAAGCUUCGCCCACCAGCUCUGGGAG